rnacentral:sRNA from 1 species
UCAAAAAUGACACACAUGUACCGACACAUCUGUCCGGGUGCCCGCCAAGGCGGGUUGGCAGAUGGGGUACAUGGAGGCCUAACC